CGGCGGAUGGGUGAGUAACACGUGGGUAACCUACCUACAAGCUUGGGAUAACUCGUGGAAACGCGAACUAAUACCAAAUGCGAUCUUUUACCUCCUGGUAAAAGAUUAAAAGACGGUUUCGGCUGUCACUUGUAGACGGGCCCGUGGCGCAUUAGCUAGUUGGUGAGAUAAAAGCUUACCAAGGCAACGAUGCGUAGCCGACCUGAGAGGGUGAUCGGCCACACUGGGACUGAGACACGGCCCAGACUCCUACGGGAGGCAGCAGUAGGGAAUCUUCCGCAACGGACGAAAGUCUGACGGAGCGACGCCGCGUGAAUGAUGAAGAUCUUCGGAUCGUAAAAUUCUGUUGUUAGGGAUGAACAAGUGUGAGCGUAACUACUCACACCUUGACAGUACUUAACCAGAAAGCCCCGGCUAACUACGUGCCAGCAGCCGCGGUAAUACGUAGGGGGCGAGCGUUGUCCGGAAUUAUUGGGCGUA
rnacentral:rRNA from 1 species